ensembl:lncRNA FAM27E5 family with sequence similarity E5
AAUGCGCAUGCGCAAGGAGAGAGCCGCUUCUCCCCAUCACAGCGAUUCCCAGGGUUGUCGUAGAAACCACUCCCUGAGGCUUCGCAAAGCAGGAGCCCUCCGUAGCAGGGCUUCGGUGUCGGGGCUCCGAGGCUCCGGCCUGACUUCUCCACGGGGUACACAGGAACGUCUCCGGACGCCAGGACCUGAAAUGGGCCGACUAGGAUGACGAAACCACAGGCAGAGUCCGGGGAAGCAGCGCGGCAUCCCAUCUUCAGGCCUGCCCGGAGGGUGUUCGGGAUCAAGAUGACCACACUCCAGCCAAGGAUAAAAGCCCCACAGGAGCUCACUGUCCUGCAGGAGAGGAGCAGGCCCACGUCCAAGAAGAUGGCUGUAUGUUUUCACGGCUCUUCUCUGAGAAGUGAAGCCACACCACGAUACAGUCUUGAAGAGGAAGCCAGGAAUGGGAGAUGGCAACAAGCCCUGUCAUGGUGGCCUCUCUGAACAAGUUACCCUUUUGGCACCCCUCCCCUUAUGCCCGUGGCGGUGGCACAGUGCUGUAUCCUGCCUGGGCUCUGGCCCCUGCUCUGUCCUCCCUCUUACUCUGUCUCCCUUGUUUCUGAGGGGCCUAGAUGCUUCUAGGUCUGGCUGAAUGUCUUCAAAAAAGAUCACUUCCCAGUCCAUCAGGGAGACAGUUGGUGGA